rnacentral:rRNA from 1 species
ACGUACUCCUACGGGAGGCUGCAGUAGGGAAUCUUCCACAAUGGGCGAAAGCCUGAUGGAGCAACGCCGCGUGUGUGAUGAAGGCUUUAGGGUCGUAAAGCACUGUUGUAUGGGAAGAAAUGCUAGAAUAGGGAAUGAUUCUAGUUCGACGGUACCAUACCAGAAAGGGACGGCUAAAUACGUGCCAGCAGCCGCGGUAA